UACGUAGGUGACAAGCGUUGUCCGGCUUUACUGAGCGUAAAGAGCGCGCAGGCGGUCGAUCAAGUCGAGUGUGAAAGCCCCCGGCUCAACUGGGGAGGGUCAUUCGAUACUGAUCGACUCGAAGGCAGGAGAGGGUAGUGGAAUUCCCGGUGUAGUGGUGAAAUGCGUAGAUAUCGGGAGGAACACCAGUGGCGAAGGCGACUACCUGGCCUGUUCUUGACGCUGAGGCGCGAAAGCUAGGGGAGCAAACGGG
rnacentral:rRNA from 1 species